CCUACAAAGCGCUGCCAGAUCAACGAGCAUGAAUCAUCUCGAUAUAGACUCCCUUUUUUUUCAUCUUACACUCUCAGCUGAUGCGUUUAUGCAGGAGAAAGAUCAAACGUGAGCGGCGGAAGAAGAAGAAGUUGAAAUUCCGUGAAUGUCAGAGGUCAGAGAGUUCAGAAACUGCAUGUACGGAGCGACGCUGGAUGUUAGAGAUGAUGGAGCGUGGCAGUGGGUGUUGAAGGAGGAAAACUGGUGUGUGGAAGUCCAGGAAGACGAGCAGACCACAGGCGAGGUAAGGAAACCAUACUGUUUGGUGCCCGUAAAUGAAGACAACAGGAGGGUUAAGGUAAAAAUGCAGGAACUACAAAAAAAGAAGACAAAGAAGAAGAAGAAAAAAACAGCCUUCCUUAACUUGACAGCAACACAUUUUGGUUUUUGUUUGUUUUGAGAGUUGUGGACUUUUCCCAUCCCUGCAGAGCAGAGUGUCGUCUUUCUGCCGAAGCUGCUACAUGGAAUUUCGGCAGCGCUGGAGUAAUGAGGUUUUCACAGGAUGGCAAUAAGAAAAUAAAAAGAAGAAGAAGGAGAAGGAAAAAAGAAAAAACAACGGUGGCUCUCCUCUCUCUCAUUUUUUUUUUUUUUUGGAAGAAAACUCUGCAAACGUUCCUUGGAGUGGAUGGGAUGAGGAGAUAACGAAACAGACGGGAGGUUUUUACACGAGAAGCGAAAUCUGCUAACGGGAGCCAAGCAAAAGCAGAAACUACAGCAGAGGCCAGAAGAGAAGCAGAAAACAUGGGCCUCUUUCAAAUCAGGGAGAAAAAAAAAAUAGAAAUCAAACAAUUAGAAAAAGAAUUGGGAGAGAGGCAGAGGAUUAAACUGCUUCUCCCUUCUUUUCUAACAAACUAACUAAUGAAGAAAGUCUGGGGUUGUUGAGGACAAAUCUCGCCGAGGAUAAUAAAAAAAAGUGCACCUUCUGAAACAUAUGGACACUUGGCACAUUUCUUGGCACCCUCUUAAUAGUUCCACUCCCAAAGUCAGAUUCUGUGGUUUUCGAGUGCCGCUGCUGCAUAUGGAAGUGUUAAACUUUUUGUCACCUUUAAUUGACAUCACAUUGCGCCGAUUGAACUCUGAAACGCCGCGGUAAACACUUUCCCCCACCGGUGCCGAUCGACCCGAGCGAAGGGGAGGAAGGAGGAGUCGGAGGAGUCGGAGCAGGCGGCGGCGGCGUUCUGGUUGGGGCCUUUUUUUUUUUUCCCCAUCAUUUCUCGCUCGCGGUGAUGCAGAGACUUUGGGAAAGAAAAGGAGAAGCUAAGUGCAGUGAAACGGCAUAAGACAUCAAAAUUAGGACUGUGUGUGUGUGCAGUGUGAAGUGGAAUGAGUUAUCAAAAAUGGCUCAUAUUAGGUAGGUUGACUCUCCCUUCUGGGCAAAGAUCUUUGAGAAGCAGCGCCGGGAAACAGAAGAUGUGGAAUGUUCUAAAAAAAAAAAAAAAAAAAAACUCUGGUUAGCAGCGGCUCUCCCUUGGACAUUGGUUUUUAAAACGGAGGGUGUGGGCGGAGUGACGAGACACAUGAUUGAUUAAUGACUUACUUUUCCACUUAAAGGCCACAGCUACUCCUCACUCGGCUCCAAAGUCGAGUUUCAUUUAACUUUAAUUUAUGAGGGAACGCUAAGGUAAGGCUGGAUCGGCGCUCGUCGGCUCACUCAGGAGACAAGGUUGGUGUCAGGAGAGCGUUCGCUUGUCUUGGUGGAGGAGAUGCGAGCGAGUGUGUGCGGCGUGGAAGCCUUCAGACUGCGCGUUUGAGGCUGCGUCAUAAAUAAUGCACUCCGUCUAAAAAGGGAAGGCUCUCCAAUUAAUGCACAGACAAAUGGGGAAACUGAAAAAGACAACUUUGCACACAGAUAAAAUUCUCUUUUUUGUCCUUUCCUACCCCCUGUUGUGCAAAAGUACUCCGCAUCACCUCGGAAAAAAAAAAAAAAGUCCAAGACAGAAGCGAUAUUCUGCCAAGUUUGGAGCCUUUAAAGCACCAGUGUGCUAAAUUCUGCCGUCUUAUGUGUUAGAAAUCCAGUUUUGUCCUCGUUUGUGUUGUUAAAGUUGAAUUUCUUCACCUAUAAGAUGAGUUUCUGAUCCUCGUUUUGAUCCUGUUUGGCUUUUGCACGCUGCCAUAUGUUGUUUUCUGCAUCAUCUUUGCAUUUCAUAACGCUUAAAAAUGAGAUUUAGCAAAUGUCAGAGGGGAUAUUUGGUUAAUUAAAGGUUAAAAAGAAAGCAGUUUUGGGUUUCUAUCUUUACUCAAGAGGGGGGAAAAUCAGCAUUCUGCUUCUUUUUCUUGUUUGAUAUUAGAAAAUGUGUUUACUGUUUAGUGGAAGGCAUUAAAAAAGAAGAAAACAGUCA